UACCCUGAACGGUGGAUCACUUUACUCGUGGGUCGAUGAAGAACGCAGCUAAUUGCGCGUCAACGUGUAAACUGCAGGACACAUGAACAUCGACAUUUCGAACGCACAUUGCUAUUUCGAACGCACAUUACGGUCCACGGAUACAAUUCCUGGACCACGCCUGGCUGAGUGUUG
rnacentral:rRNA from 13 species